rnacentral:rRNA from 1 species
AUUGAACGCUGGCGGCAUGCCUUACACAUGCAAGUCGAACGGUAACAGGUCUUCGGAUGCUGACGAGUGGCGAACGGGUGAGUAAUACAUCGGAACGUGCCCGAUCGUGGGGGAUAACGAAGCGAAAGCUUUGCUAAUACCGCAUAAGAUCUACGGAUGAAAGCAGGGGACCGCAAGGCCUUGCGCGAACGGAGCGGCCGAUGGCAGAUUAGGUAGUUGGUGGGAUAAAACUUACCAAGCCGACGAUCUGUAGCUGGUCUGAGAGGACGACCAGCCACACUGGGACUGAGACAAGGCCCAGACUCCUACGGGAGGCAGCAGUGGGGAAUUUUGGACAAUGGGCGAAAGCCUGAUCCAGCCAUGCCGCGUGCAGGAUGAAGGCCUUCGGGUUGUAAACUGCUUUUGUACGGAACGAAAAGACUCUUUCUAAUAAAGAGGGUCCAUGACGGUACCGUAAGAAUAAGCACCGGCUAACUACGUGCCAGCCGCCGCAGUAA